rnacentral:rRNA from 1 species
UACGUAGGCAGCGAGCGUUGUUCGGAAUUACUGGGCGUAAAGAGUGUGUAGGCGGUGCUCUAAGUUCGGUGUGAAAUCUCCUGGCUCAACUGGGAGGGUGCGCCGGAAACUGGAGUGCUUGAGCGUGGGAGAGGAAAGCGGAAUUCCUGGUGUAGCGGUGAAAUGCGUAGAUAUGCGGAGGAACACCGAUGGCGAAGGCAAUCCCCUGGACCUGUACUGACGCUCAUGCACGAAAGCGUGGGGAGCAAACAGG